UGUAAAAGUGUCAGUGUUGCAGAGCAGCGUGAUGGACUCGGUUCCUGCAGGAGCGUCAGUGACUCUGCAGUGCUCGGUUCUUUUUGAGAGCAGAGCAGCAGAUCUCCAAGUGCUCUGGUUCAGAGCUGCUCCACCACAAUCCCAUCAUCAAAUCAUUUACACUCAUCACAACAGCAGCCAUCAGUGUGAGAGCAGCUCUUCUACACACACCUGUGUGUACAACUUCUCCAAGAACAUCCUCAGCCUCAGUGAUACUGGCACUUACUACUGCGCUGUGGCCGUGUGUGGGAAGAUCAUUUUUGGGAACGGGACACGAGUACAAUUAAAAACACCUUCACUCAUACAAUCUGUGGAUCCUGUAGUGAUCUUUCUCGCUGUAGCUUUGGGAGUGUGUGUGGUUGUGAUCUUUACUCAUGUCGUAAGCUAUAAAGGGAGAAACUGUGAUUACUGCAGUGUGAGAUCUCAUCAAUGUUCUGUUGUAGAGAAAACACUGAAUCAGGGCCGUUCUGCUGUUGAGGUCAAUUUCUCUGCUUUACAUUUCAAAGACAGGAAACUCAAACCUCAAGAUAAUGUGUUUUCAGAAGUGAUAUACUCCUCUUUUCCUUAGAAUAUAGUUCAGUAACACUUUAUAUUGAGCACGAUAUUACUGCACCCGUCGCUCACUGUUUCAUGAAUGCAUUGAUCAAUAGUAAAUCUAGAGCAAGCCUUACAUGUAUUAUUUUUAUUAACCUUUCUGUAGCUGUAAGUAGAAGAAUUCAGUAGUUUGAAGUAAAAGUAAGAGGAAAGA